AGUGGUUUUACCCUAUGGUAG
rnacentral:ncRNA from 5 species